rnacentral:rRNA from 1 species
GAUGAACGCUAGCGGGAGGCUUAACACAUGCAAGUCGAGGGGCAGCAUAGGGUAGCAAUACUCUGAUGGCGACCGGCAAACGGAUGAGUAACGCGUAUGCAACCUACCCUGUACAGGGGGAUAACCCGGAGAAAUUCGGACUAAUAUCCCGUAAUAAUAUCCGGAGGCAUCUUUGGAUAUUUAAAGUUCCGACGGUACGGGAUGGGCAUGCGUAACAUUAGCUGGUUGGUAAGGUAACGGCUUACCAAGGCUAUGAUGUUUAGGGGUCCUGAGAGGGUGGUCCCCCACACUGGUACUGAGACACGGACCAGACUCCUACGGGAGGCAGCAGUGAGGAAUAUUGGUCAAUGGGCGCAAGCCUGAACCAGCCAUCCCGCGUGCAGGAAGACGGCCCUAUGGGUUGUAAACUGCUUUUCCAGGGAGAGAAACUUACGCACGUGUUGCGUGACUGACGGUACCCUGGGAAUAAGCAUCGGCUAACUCCGUG